UACGUAGGGUGCAAGCGUUAAUCGGAAUUACUGGGCGUAAAGCGUGCGCAGGCGGUGAUGUAAGACAGAUGUGAAAUCCCCGGGCUCAACCUGGGAACUGCAUUUGUGACUGCAUCGCUGGAGUGCGGCAGAGGGGGAUGGAAUUCCGCGUGUAGCAGUGAAAUGCGUAGAUAUGCGGAGGAACACCGAUGGCGAAGGCAAUCCCCUGGGCCUGCACUGACGCUGAGAAGCGAAAGCGUGGGGAGCGAACAGG
rnacentral:rRNA from 1 species